AUACGGAGGGUCCAAGCGUUAUCGGGAAUCAUUGGGUUUAAAGGGUCCGCAGGCGGUCAAUUAAGUCAGAGGUGAAAGCCCAUCGCUCAACGAUGGAACUGCCUUUGAUACUGGUUGACUUGAGUUAUACGGAAGUAGAUAGAAUAAGUAGUGUAGCGGUGAAAUGCAUAGAUAUUACUUAGAAUACCGAUUGCGAAGGCAGUCUACUACGUAUAUACUGACGCUGAGGGACGAAAGCGUGGGGAGCGAACAGGAUUAGAUACCCGAGUAGUCC
rnacentral:rRNA from 1 species